CACAGAAAUGACCUACAAAGC
rnacentral:piRNA from 1 species